UGACAACCCUGGCUGCCUAGGUUUAU
rnacentral:piRNA from 1 species